rnacentral:rRNA from 1 species
AUUGAACGCUGGCGGCAGGCCUAACACAUGCAAGUCGAGCGGGGAAAGGUAGCUUGCUACUGGACCUAGCGGCGGACGGGUGAGUAAUGCUUAGGAAUCUGCCUAUUAGUGGGGGACAACAUCUCGAAAGGGAUGCUAAUACCGCAUACGUCCUACGGGAGAAAGCAGGGGAUCUUCGGACCUUGCGCUAAUAGAUGAGCCUAAGUCGGAUUAGCUAGUUGGUGGGGUAAAGGCCUACCAAGGCGACGAUCUGUAGCGGGUCUGAGAGGAUGAUCCGCCACACUGGGACUGAGACACGGCCCAGACUCCUACGGGAGGCAGCAGUGGGGAAUAUUGGACAAUGGGGGGAACCCUGAUCCAGCCAUGCCGCGUGUGUGAAGAAGGCCUUAUGGUUGUAAAGCACUUUAAGCGAGGAGGAGGCUACUCUAGUUAAUACCUAGGGAUAGUGGACGUUACUCGCAGAAUAAGCACCGGCUAACUCUGUGCCAGCCGCCGCCGUAA